UACGGAGGGGGCUAGCGUUGUUCGGAAUUACUGGGCGUAAAGCGCACGUAGGCGGCUUUUUAAGUUAGAGGUGAAAGCCCGGGGCUCAACCCCGGAAUUGCCUUUAAGACUGCAUCGCUUGAACGUCGGAGAGGUGAGUGGAAUUCCGAGUGUAGAGGUGAAAUUCGUAGAUAUUCGGAAGAACACCAGUGGCGAAGGCGGCUCACUGGACGACUGUUGACGCUGAGGUGCGAAAGCGUGGGGAGCAAACAGG
rnacentral:rRNA from 1 species